UGGGGAAUAUUGCACAAUGGGCGCAAGCCUGAUGCAGCGACGCCGCGUGCGGGAUGGAGGCCUCGGGUUGUAAACCGCUUUUGUUCAAGGGCAAGGCACGGCUUCGGGCCGUGUUGAGUGGAUUGUUCGAAUAAGCACCGGCUAACUACGUGCC
rnacentral:rRNA from 1 species